AUAUCAAUAAGCGGAGGAAAAGAAACCAACAGGGAUUGCCUCAGUAACGGCGAGUGAAGCGGCAACAGCUCAAAUUUGAAAUCUGGCUCUUUUAGGGUCCGAGUUGUAAUUUGUAGAAGAUGCUUCGAGUGUGGCUCUAGCCUAAGUUCCUUGGAACAGGACGUCAUAGAGGGUGAGAAUCCCGUAUGCGGCUGGUAGCUUUCGCUCAUGUGAAGCUCUUUCGACGAGUCGAGUUGUUUGGGAAUGCAGCUCAAAAUGGGUGGUAAAUUUCAUCUAAAGCUAAAUAUUGGCCAGAGACCGAUAGCGCACAAGUAGAGUGAUCGAAAGAUGAAAAGCACUUUGGAAAGAGAGUUAAACAGUACGUGAAAUUGUUGAAAGGGAAGCGCUUGCAACCAGACUUGCGCGUAGCUGAUCAUCCAGAGUUUUCUCUGGUGCACUCGGUUGCGCUCAGGCCAGCAUCAGUUUAGGUGGUUGGAUAAAGGCCUUGGGAAUGUAGCUCCUCUCGGGGAGUGUUAUAGCCCUCGGUGCAAUGCAGCCUACCUGGAUUGAGGACCGCGCUUCGGCUAGGAUGCUGGCAUAAUGGUUGUAAGCGA
rnacentral:rRNA from 1 species